rnacentral:rRNA from 1 species
CCUACGGGUGGCAGCAGUGAGGAAUAUUGGUCAAUGGACGGAAGUCUGAACCAGCCAUGCCGCGUGCAGGAAGACGGCUCUAUGAGUUGUAAACUUCUUUUGUACAAGGGUAAAACUGGAUACGUGUCUUCCGCUGCACGUACUUUACGAAUAAGGAUCGGCUAACUCCGUGCCAGCAGCCGCGGUAAUACGGAGGAUCCAAGCGUUAUCCGGAUUUAUUGGGUUUAAAGGGUGCGUAGGCGGAUUGAUAAGUUAGAGGUGAAAUGUCCGGGCUUAACUCGGGAACUGCCUCUAAUCCUGGUGAUCGAGAGAGUAGAUGCGGUAGGCGGAAUGUAUGGUGUAGCGGUGAAAUGCUUAGAGAUCAUACAGAACACCGAUUGCGAAGGCAGCUUACCAAGCUAUAUCUGACGUUGAGGCACGAAAGCGUGGGGAGCAAACAGGAUUAGAUACCCCAGUAGUC